rnacentral:rRNA from 1 species
AUACGGAGGGUGCAAGCGUUACUCGGAAUCACUGGGCGUAAAGCGCGCGCAGGCGGCUAUUUAAGUUGGAUGUGAAAGCCUACGGCUCAACCGUAGAACUGCAUCCAAAACUAUUUAGCUAGAGUGUGGGAGAGGAAGAUGGAAUUAGUUGUGUAGGGGUAAAAUCCGUAGAGAUAACUAGGAAUACCAAAAGCGAAGGCAAUCUUCUGGAACACUUCUGACGCUGAGGCGCGAAAGCGUGGGGAGCAAACGGGAUUAGAAACCCUUGUAGUCC